UACGGAGGGAGCUAGCGUUGUUCGGAAUUACUGGGCGUAAAGCGCACGUAGGCGGCUUUUUAAGUCAGGGGUGAAAUCCCUCGGCUUAACCGGGGAACUGCGUCCGAUACUGGAUGGCUUGAGUUCGGGAGAGGGAUGCGGAAUUCCAGGUGUAGCGGUGAAAGUGCGUAGAUAUCUGGAGGAACACCGGUGGCGAAGGCGGCAUCCUGGACCGAUACUGACGCUGAGGAGCGAAAGCCAGGGGAGCAAACGGG
rnacentral:rRNA from 1 species